rnacentral:sRNA from 1 species
UGGACAGGCCUGGAGAACUGAGUCCUCUGCUCGUUCACAGAACAGGUGCAGUGUAAGCAGAGGCAGUGCUAGCUUCACUCACGCUGUGCCUCAGUCAUGACUCAGAUGGACCACAUCUCAGGGUGAAAGGAUCAUGCAGUCUCUGUGGGUCGUUCAGUCCACAGCCAGU